rnacentral:rRNA from 1 species
GACGUAGGGCGUGAGCGUUGUCCGGAUUUAUUGGGCGUAAAGAGCUCGUAGGCGGCUCGUUGCGUCGGCUGUGAAAACCCGCAGCUCAACUGUGGGCUUGCAGCUGAUACGGGCGGGCUGGGAUUCGGUAGGGGAGACUGGAAUUCCUGGUGUAGCGGUGAAAUGCGCAGAUAUCAGGAGGAACACCGGUGGCGAAGGCGGGUCUCUGGGCCGAUAUCGACGCUGAGGAGCGAAAGCGUGGGGAGCGAACAGG